UGUAGUUUCAUAAAUUAUUUUGCGAUUUUAGUUCUCCUCUUUUGCUCUCCAUUAGACCUAGGAAGGCACACCAGCUGGAAGGAAGGCGACGAGCUGCAAUCAUGCUCAGCUCUCAAAAUCUUAUCAAUACCUCUCUCAGGCAUAUUAAAAUGGUUAAGACACAUGCAUCUAGGUUCAAAGCCCCUUGUGUCGAAAGAUGAUAAGACAAACCAUGAUGACAUCUUACCACCAACUGUG